AUGUUCCCGUUGAUAAAAAAAAUAUGGAAGCUAAAAAUUUCUCUAAGAGUGAAGAUAUUCCUCUGUUUUUUAAGAAGAGGGGUCAUCUUAACUAGAGAUAAUCUGGCACGACGUAACUGGCAAGGUAGCAAGACAUGUAUCUUUUGCCAACAUGACGAGUCUAUUAAACACUUAUCUUUUGAGUGUAAAUUUGCUCGUGCAUUAUGGGCCAUAGUUCAAGUAGCUUCAAAUCUAUACUCCCCACAUAGUGCACGUAACAUGUUCGGUAAUUGGUUGCGGAAACAAUUUUCUGCACAUACUCUUGUUGGUGCAGCUGCCUUAUGCUGGGCAUUGUGUCUUACCAGGAAUGAUGUGCUUUUUAGUAAUAAAUGUGGUCCUUCUCCUGUGCAGGCUAUUCAUGCAUGUACGCGAUGGCUCCGUACUUGGUCUAUCCUGCAGAAGUCGGAGGAUAGAUACAUUUUUAUGAUGGCGUCUACACGGCUAGAGCGUAUGACUAGGGAGGUUUUCUCCCUCCAUGGAUGGCGGUGUAAUCUCCGUAUAGGAUCUGCCCCACCCUAG
rnacentral:rRNA from 1 species